rnacentral:rRNA from 1 species
CCUACGGGAGGCAGCAGUCGGGAAUUUUGGGCAAUGGGCGAAAGCCUGACCCAGCAACGCCGCGUGAAGGAUGAAAUCCCUCGGGAUGUAAACUUCGCAAGAACGGGAAGAAUAAGUAGGGGACAAUACCCCCUAUGAUGACGGUACCGUUUGUAAGCUCCGGCUAACUCCGUGCCAGCAGCCGCGGUAAUACGAAGGGGGCUAGCGUUGUUCGGAAUUACUGGGCGUAAAGCGUAUGCAGGCGGAUCGUUAAGUCAGGGGUGAAAUCCCGAGGCUCAACCUCGGAACUGCCUUUGAUACUGACGAUCUUGAGUCCGGGAGAGGUGAGUGGAACUGCGAGUGUAGAGGUGAAAUUCGUAGAUAUUCGCAAGAACACCAGUGGCGAAGGCGGCUCACUGGCCCGGUACUGACGCUGAGAUACGAAAGCGUGGGGAGCAAACAGGAUUAGAUGCCCUGGUAGUCCACGCCGUAAACGAUGAAUGCUAGCCGUCGGUGGGCAUGCCCUUCGGUGGCGCAGCUAACGCAAUAAGCAUUCCGCCUGGGGAGUACGAUCGCAAGAUUAAAACUCAAAGGAAUUGACGGA